rnacentral:rRNA from 1 species
UACGAAGGGGGCUAGCGUUGUUCGGAAUUACUGGGCGUAAAGGGCGCGUAGGCGGUGUGUCAAGUCAGGCGUGAAAUUCCCGGGCUCAACCUGGGGGCUGCGCUUGAUACUGAUGAGCUUGAAUGCGGGAGAGGAUAGUGGAAUUCCCAGUGUAGAGGUGAAAUUCGUAGAUAUUGGGAAGAACACCGGUGGCGAAGGCGGCUAUCUGGCCCGUAAUUGACGCUGAGGCGCGAAAGCGUGGGGAGCAAACAGG